UAUAAGGAGAUAAAAGAACUUCAGCAUUAUAAAUGGAGUUCUUUUGGAAGCAAUGAAUCAAUCAAGAUGGUUGUUCUGUCUCUGAAAGUCAAGGUCUCUUCAGAUCUAGUGAAGAAGUCUUCUUGAUUUUCCUGAAGCUUCUCCCCAGCUGUCUUCUUCCUUGGUAACAUGCUGCUCUGGAUAUUUGUACAGUCACAGUACUGAAUGAGUCUGGUGUAAGAAGGUCCUCCUGGAGCAGAGGUAGAAGAGAAAGAUGGUCUCUGCUGUCAAGGAGCGUAAUCCUUUCACCAGAGAUGUUGGACGCAAAUACCCACAAAGAUAAAUCAAAAUGUAUGGCCCUGG